rnacentral:rRNA from 1 species
AGCGAGGCAAAGCCGCGAGGCGGAGCGAAUCGCUAAAAGCCGUCCCAGUUCGGAUUGCAGGCUGCAACCCGCCUGCAUGAAGUUGGAAUCGCUAGUAAUCGCGGAUCAGCAUGCCGCGGUGAAUACGUUCCCGGGCCUUGUACACACCGCCCGUCACACCAUGAGAGUCGGGAACACCCGAAGUCCGUAGCCUGACCGCAAGGGGGGCGCGGCCGAAGGUGGGUUCGAUAAUUGGGGUGAAGUCGUAACAAGGUAAC